AUUUUUCUGGAAUGGCCAGAAAAUGUGACAUGUUACUCCCUAUGUAAAUGUGGGGUGUGAAACCUGGCGGUUCAGGUCAGCUCCGUUGAGAGAGUGGAAACAGAGAGCUGACAUGGGGCGUUGUGACACUAUAAGGCAUGGGAACCUAUGAAAUUCACAGAGCGCUCUAUACACCAAUAAUGUCACUCGGAACAUUUACAUUACAUUACAUUUAAGUCAUUUAGCAGACGCUCUUAUCCAGAGCGACUUACAAAUUGGUGAACAAUCAACAGGGAUUUCGUUUCAAAAUGUCCUCCUCGAGCAUGUGUUCUGUGAUGGGUUCAGGUCCAACUGGGGGCAAGUUUAACACCUCAACCAUCCACAGGCUCCCUCUCCAGCCCAGAGGCUGCUGACCCUUCACAUGCCAUGGUGGGCCAGCCCAGCAGAUAUCACUAAUCAUGGGCCUUCUCUGCUUUGUUUGUCCACACAGGCUUCCGUUUCUCUAUGAAGGCCCGUAUCCCCUCCUGUCCGGAACCAGUCCACAACUUCACAUCUCACAGUUGUUUAAAAGCAGAGAAGAAGUCCCAGAACCUGAUGACACAUAGGAGAGAGUUGUAGCCAUUGAUUCUUGAAGAAUAUAACUUCUAAAUGCCCAAUGACCUCAGUUCAACGGUCAUACCCCAUCUGAAUCCAAUAUAUACCGAGUUUACAAAACAUUAUGAACACCUGCUCAACUUUGAUUUCCCAUCAGAACCCACAACAGCCUGUUUAACUCUGAGGGGUAAUAUACUAUGUAGUGGGAUAGAGGAGUUAGUGAGCUGACUUUGCUUCAAUUCUGAAUUCGACUCACUGAAUUCAACUCAGGAUAACUGUUGAAGGUCUCUUACCUCUUAACCAUGUAAGUUUCUAGGGCAACAAAUCUUUCAUCUCUAACCUGUUCCUGGGCAGGCUAGUUGAGGACCAAUCAGGGGGCAGGCUAACCCUACUUUAUCCUGACUCAAGUGUUGUGUCUGAGCUGUGAUUUGAGGACCAAUCAAAUCGAAAUCCCUUCCAUCUGUGAUUGCAAUAAAAAGUCAUAAGUUUACCAUCUGUUUGAUGUUAUCAUUCACACAGGAGAGAGACAUGACUAUUAUGGAUCCUCUGGGGAGCCUCAACAACAUCCUGAUGCUGACGAGGCAGAGAAGAGUCUCUCCAGAUCAGAACACCAGAUGGACAACGCUAGCCCUUCCUCCCUCCCGGAGUCCCUGUGUCGUGCCUCUCCCGGUAUCACCUUACUGCUGGGUAUGAAGAGGUUGUCUGUGCUGCUGGUGGACUGCAGGAAAACAACGGGGCUGAGUGGAAAUGUGAGAAGAGGAGAAGAGAAGAAAGGAUCAGAUUUGACACUUCAAAGAGAGAGAUCAGACUCUCACGUUGACAGCGGUAAGAGUCCUCCGGGGGAUCCGGACCCAGCGAUGCCCAAACCAGCUGGACGACACCACUGCGCCCAGUGUGGAAAGAGUUUUAACCAUUUAGGGAACCUGAAAAC